AUGUUACGACGGGUCCAUCCGACGACUUCUAUGCCUCAACCCGAACCACAAGUUGGCCUCUCCCUCUUCCAUUCUUUGGUGGAUUCAUCUAUCCCACCAGGAACAUUGCAGGGGCCUUCCAAAAUGGAGCCGCUUCUCUCUGCAAUCGUGGGUGAUCUUGUCAGCAGAGCCCUGUCCAUGGUAACCCAGAGAUACCUGCAGUCCAAGGGAGCAGAGGAGGAGAAGCUCCAGAGGCUACGGGCAGUGCUGCUAAGGAUCGAUGCCACCGUCGAGGAGGCUGAGGGGAGGCACAUCACCAACCAGGCGAUGCUCCAGCAGCUCCAGAUGUUGAGACGAGGUAUGUACAGAGGCUACUACACGCUCGACACCUUCAGAUACCGAGCGCACAGGGACAAGGCCGAUGGCGAGGUGAGCACUCGCCGUUCGCUUGCCCUGUCCAGUUUCAGACGCACCUUCUUCUCUGUGUGCGAUGCCCCAAGUAUGGACGAGGUGCUUGAUGCGGGGAGCUGCAGCAAUCUUGACAAGAUGCUCAGCAGCCUUGAGAGAGUGAUUGGUGACAUGCAGGAGUUCGUGAUGUUCUUGGCCAGCUAUCCUCGGAUCUCCCGGCAACCUUACAGCGCGUAUUUGUUUUGUGAUCAGGUUAUGUUUGGCCGGCAGAUGGAAAAAGAGACAAUUUUGAGCUUUCUGCUUUGUAGGGAGGCUGUGAGGAAUGGAAGUCUGGGUGUGCUGCCCAUAAUCGGUCCAGCGAGAGUCGGCAAGAGUACACUUGUUGAGCAUGUCUGCCUUGACGAGAGGGUGCGGAGGCGCUUCUCGUUGAUCGUCUUCUUCAGCGGGAAUGAUCUCAAAGGUGGAAACUUGGCCACUCUAAAAGGUAGUGGUGUGAUCAAGCAUCAGAACCUUGCCUCCAGCCCGCAUGGAGACUCACUGGCUGUGAUUGAGCUAGCAGGGGACAUGGACGAGGAAACAUGGAGGGGGUUGUACACCUCGGCAGCAAGCCACCUGACGCCAGGCAGUAAAAUCAUACUCACCAGCCGUUCAGACAAGAUAGCAUCAUUAGGAACGGCAGAGUCUCUUAUGCUGAAAUCUUUGUCCCAAGAAGCUUACUGGUAUUUCUUCAAGACGGUUGCAUUCGGAAGCACAAACCCUGGUGAGCAUCCUAGCAUGGCAGCCCUCGGCAUGGAGAUCGCCUUCCACAUGAACAGAUCAUUCAUGGCAGCGAACAUCGUUGCCAGCUUACUGAGAACCAAUCUUGACAUACAGUUUUGGCGCAGAGUGCUGAGAUGCUUGAGAGAUUUCGCAAGCAAGCACCUCAGCAUGUUUGGCGAGCACCCGACCAAUCUCCUACAGAAGGACCAGCCUCUGUACAUGUGGACAAUGGCCAAGACAAGCAAUGUCGUCGUGAUGCGUGAUAUUUAUGAUGAGCCCUCUCCCCAGAUCAGUGAGGUUCCCAGGAUAACGGCACAAGAUGUUUUGUCUGGUCAAGUUACGUCUGAAGGGACAUUCCAAGCAGUGGCAUGGAGGUCCAGGAUACCGCCCUGCUACACCUACUUGGCGAGCUUCGUCGUGUCACGGACAGACAAGCACGCGGUGCUCGGUAAGAAGAGGUCUAGGCAGGACAGGAUUUGA
rnacentral:rRNA from 1 species